rnacentral:piRNA from 1 species
AGAACACUGGCUGCUCUUCCAGA